rnacentral:rRNA from 1 species
UUGCACGCUGGCGGCAUGCCUUACCCAUGCAAGUCGAACGGCAGCACGGGUGCUUGCCCCUGGUGGCGAGUGGCGAACGGGUGAGUAAUACAUCGGAACAUGUCCUGUAGUGGGGGAUAGCCCGGCGAAAGCCGGAUUAAUACCGCAUACGAUCUACGGAUGAAAGCGGGGGACCUUCGGGCCUCGCGCUAUAGGGUUGGCCGAUGGCUGAUUAGCUAGUUGGUGGGGUAAAGGCCUACCAAGGCGACGAUCAGUAGCUGGUCUGAGAGGACGACCAGCCACACUGGGACUGAGACACGGCCCAGACUCCUACGGGAGGCAGCAGUGGGGAAUUUUGGACAAUGGGCGAAAGCCUGAUCCAGCAAUGCCGCGUGUGUGAAGAAGGCCUUCGGGUUGUAAAGCACUUUUGUCCGGAAAGAAAUCCUUGGCCCUAAUACGGUCGGGGGAUGACGGUACCGGAAGAAUAAGCACCGGCUAACUACGUG